AAGUCGUAACAAGGUUUCCGUAGGUGAACCUGCGGAAGGAUCAUUAUCGUAAACAAAGGCCAUGGUUCUGCUGUCGCUGGCCCCCUUUGCGGGGGGCAUGUGCACGCCCGUGGUCGCAUCCUUCACACCCCCCUGUGCACCUCUGCGUGGGUUCGUCGGCUUGCGCCCUCGAGCCCGCGUCUUAUACCAUAUACACCUGUAUGUCCUCAGAAUGUCUACAUGCGAUGAAAAAGCAUUUAAUACAA
rnacentral:misc_RNA from 1 species